rnacentral:misc_RNA from 1 species
CAAUUAUCAAAGUCUUCUCUCCUCUUCUCUUCUCCCUUUAUAUAUUCAAUUCUCUUCUCGUUUCCAAAACCACACAAAACAACCCAUUAAACCUUUCAAUCUCUCUCUGUCUCUCCUUGUUAAUUUCUCCAUCGAUUUCUCCAUCUUUAGCUAAGCAAAGAUGCAGCAGGCAAUCCCUUACAAGUCAUGGCUGCCUCUAUACACCACCACCACCAACCCUCUAACCCUUAACCACACUUCCACUAAUGGUCUCGUUGAUUAUAAGAAAAUGUUAAAAGGGUCGAAAAACAUGGUCAGUAUGGUUCAAGAGAAUGCUAUUAUAGUGUUUGCUAGGCGGGGGUGCUGUAUGAGCCAUGUAGUGAAGCGAUUGCUAUUAGGUCUUG